rnacentral:lncRNA from 1 species
UUUCUGAUUAUCCUGGGGCUGCACAUUUUGAAUCUCCAACCACAGGGGAACUCAACCCUGCCAGUGAGUGAGAAGUUGGAAUUGAGAUUGUUGGAGUGUCAUAUAAAGUAAAAGAAUUUGGGACGAAGGCUUGGGUUGGAUCUCUCUAAGCCUAUUAUAGAUUGUAGCUGGCCAUUACUCCAUGGGCAUCCUAGGAGACCUUAAUUGUCAGCAUGCAUCACAUUAUCUUUGCCUAAAACUGUGAGCCCUAACUUUAUUCAAGAAAAAUCAGGUCAACUGAGGACCAGAAAAGUGAGUCCAUUUUGUUUCUGGUGUUUCUAAUUGAUAA